rnacentral:lncRNA from 1 species
UAGGCCUGUGCAAUCGGUCGGUUCGGUUUCGAACCAAACCGAACCGAAAAAACCGAAAACCGAAAUGUUAAAAUUUUAAAAACCGAAAUAACCGAUUAUGAUUAUAUAACCGAACCGAACCGAACCGAUAAAAAUCGGUUCGGUUCGGUUCGGUUCGAUUCAAACCGAAAUCUGCAAUGAAACGUAGAAAGAUAUUGGGUGAAAGAAACCAGAACAAUGAAACGAAGCUAGCUCUAUUUUUGACAAUAUCAAGGGAAAAAACAAAAUUAACAAUUAUGUAUCUGAAACCCCAAAUCUUCUUAUCAUAUUUGCAGAAAAUGAAAGCUUUUUUCUUCCCAUUUGCUAAUCAGAGAGAACCCAAUGCAAGAACUCAAUAAGCAGAUUCAAUUUUUUAGCAACAAAAUAAAAACCAUACCUCAAAUUAUAAGCCAACAGAAGAGAUCACUGAAGAGGACAGACGGUCGACGGUCGGCAGUGACAGUGACACUCAGCAAAUCAAUAGGGACUACUGGACUAGGGAGGGAGGGAAAGAGAUUGAUGGCGAGCGACGGGAUGAGGGUGAGCAACUCCCACUUCUUUCAGCAGAUCGACGGGAAGAGGGUGAGCAACUCCCACUUCUUUCAGCAGAUCGAUGGGAAGAGGGCGAGCGAUUUGUGACUUCUUUCAGAGGGGGAGGGGGAGGGCGUCGUCGUUAGGGUUAGGGAUUGGGUAUCAGAGUGAGUGUGAGUGAUGUGAAAUUGUGAAUAAGGGUUUCGUUUCGGGCUGGAGGAGGGGAAAUUGGGAGGGGGGAGGCGAACGCCUGGGCCGAGGGUUGGGGGUGUUGGCCUGGGUUGGGUAUCAGAGGGGGAGGGGGAGGGCUCGGGCUUGGGAUUAGAACCGAAAUCGGUUAUUUCGGUUUGAUCGGUUAUUUAACACGUUUAAAUCGAACCGAACCGAAAACCGAAUAAUUUUAAAUAUACUAACCGAACCAAACCGAUCAUCCCGAUUAACCGAAC